rnacentral:ncRNA from 1 species
CAAAACGCUUUGAUGAGGAGAAGUACAUAAGGCACGCUCUUUAGAGAGGACCACCACCGGCUGAAAGUGGUCUGAGCUUAGGCACUAUGGAAAUGCACCUCUGAGCGCUCAGCUGAACCAUUUAGUAAGCGAGCCGUACCGUCUACGUUACAAGACGCCAAGUGGGAAGGACCGCAAAACAUCCUUCCAAUCAGAGUGGAACCGCGCUAUUACAGCGUCUCUGUC